CGCGUAGUUAGCCGUGGCUUUCUGGUUAGGUACCGUCAAGGUACGAGCAGUUACUCUCGUACUUGUUCUUCCCUAACAACAGAGUUUUACGAUCCGAAAGCCUUCAUCACUCACGCGGCGUUGCUCCGUCAGACUUUCGUCCAUUGCGGAAGAUUCCCUACUGCUGCCUCCCGUAGGAGUCUGGGCCGUGUCUCAGUCCCAGUGUGGCCGAUCACCCUCUCAGGUCGGCUACGCAUCGUUGCCUUGGUGAGCCGUUACCUCACCAACUAGCUAAUGCGCCGCGGGCCCAUCUAUAAGUGAUAGCGUAAACCAUCUUUCAGCCUUUCCUCAUGAGAGGAAAGGGAUUAUCCGGUAUUAGCUCCGGUUUCCCGAAGUUAUCCCAGUCUUAUAGGCAGGUUGCCCACGUGUUACUCACCCGUCCGCCGCUGAUAUCAGGGAGCAAGCUCCCAUCAAUCCGCUCGACUUGCAUGUAUUAGGCACGCCGCCAGCGUCGUCUCGUAGCCGA
rnacentral:rRNA from 1 species